CGUGUUAUAGGCCACCCACAAGAUGUCCUCUCUCCCUAACCAUUGCCCUAGGGUUGAAAACAUUGGAUGACUACAAAAAAAAAAAAAAAAAGAGUUUUUCCCUUUGAAAAAUGUUCCCUGUGAGCCUGAGAGGUGAGGAGGAAGGCAUUUCUUCAGCUCCUUGAAGACAGCUCCAGGUGCCCACAGGGGACAGUCUCUGUCCUCAGGGCUAGGUCUCAGGGCCAUGCUGACUGCACACCGACCUGCUCCCUUCUUGAAGGCAGAGGCUGGAUUUUGAGCACUCCAGUUAGUGCAGGGACAGCACGGGACCCCUGUACCUCAGUGGCUGCACACUCCAAGGCCGAGUUUAUGAAGGAGGACCAGCAGUCAUCUACUUCCCCUGUCAAACACCAUUACAGACUUGCAAACGCCAGUCUCUAAAGUUGGCUCUCUAGGCUGGAUCUGUUCAAGUAAGCUGCAUCAGCCAGUCAGUCACAGAGGAAUUGGCCCCUCCACCCCCAAAAGACCCCUAAACCAAAGCCUGGGUGGCAGAGCAGUUGCCACCAUCAAGCCAAGCUUGGACAUCUAGGCUGAACUAUGAAGGGUACACCGUUGAGAUAGACAGUCCCUGGCCUUGUAGCCAAAGUGUCCAGUGUUCUGUUGUGUGGGCAUCUAGGGGAGUCCUAAGGGAUCAGCUGCCCAGCAGCCUUUUUCUAGAAAUACAGGCACAUCCACAUGGAUACAACAAGAUCUCCAGGAGCCACGUGUCCUUCCUGUC
rnacentral:lncRNA from 1 species